rnacentral:rRNA from 1 species
GGGAGUGAUCAUCACAGAAGUAAUGCCUUGCAUCCUAUCGAACUCCGAAGUUAGUGUGCUUGGGCGAGAGUAGUACUAGGAUGGGUGACCUCCUGGGAAGUGCUCGUGUUGCACCCC